CUGGCAAUGCUAGCAGCAGAUAAUAGCGCCAUGAAGACACACUUCGCAGGGGCAGUCCUGCUGGUUUGCUUUGUGUGCUGGUCAGUUCCCACGUGGUCAUGGUUAGGCAAAAUCCUGAGGGAUCAACAAAAGCUUUAGAAAGCAAAUAAAGGGAAAUUAUAGCUGAUGUUGUUAAAGAGGAAGAAGACUAUGACCUUAGCAAAGUAAAGGAGGAGCUGUCGCCGUGGGGCUGUGACAGCACGGGCCAGCACCAGAACACGCUGUGAUUUCCUUUCCUUGAAACCAAGAAUGUCAUCUGUGACCGUGAACGAGCCCUCUCUAGGCUGCCGGGCUGCUUCUUGUACUACGGAGGGACUAGAGAAAAGGCUCAGAGGCUAAGAAUAUGCAUGCACCACCCAUGCAGAGGACCUGAAUUCUGUUCCCAGCACUCAUAUCAGGUGGAUCACAACUGCGUCGAACUCCAGCUCCAGGGGAGCUGAUACCCUCUACUGGCCAAUGUGGCAAAACAUGUGGUGAGGUCACAGAUGGUCAGAGGUCAGCACCACCCAGAGAGAGGCCAGACCUACGGAGUAAUUAAAGCCCCAGCAGUCAGGGGUGAACUGGCAAAGAUGAACUAACCUGAAACCCCUCCUCUGUGGAAGACCAUCUCCCCACCUCUCACCUGAGACGGCAUCAGGCCAUCUCUCCAGAGCUAAGCAAAAUGAAUGUGAAAUUUGAUGACAGACUGAGGAUCAUUGCAGUCCCCAAAGAAGACACAUGAAUGGCCAAAGAUUUGCAUUUCGUCAUUAAGUCUCAGAAGCAGCUUUGCGAAGUCGGCAGCAGGAAGGGAAGGAGAUGUUCUGGAUGGUUCUGUCUCCAAAGGUCCUGUCCCACAGUUACCUGGCAACAGCCAGGUGUGCCUGACUCACUAUAAAAGGGGCUGCAUGUCCCCUCCUCUCUCUUGCUCUCUUCUCUUUUCUUUUGGGCCCAGCCUCCACGCCUGUGGGAUGAGUUGCUCCGCUAGCUUGUUGCCCAAAGCUGUAGCACACAAUGUAGCAGCUGUGGUUAAAAUGGCCGAAUAAUAAAGUCCUGAGUCAUUUCUAUAUCUUGUUUUUAUCCUGAGAACGUAAACUUGUUUUUCCACUGAGCUUCCGGGGUUUUUCCACCCAGUGGACUUGGUGUAAUAUAUUGUGUGAACCUCAGUAAAGCUUUGGCAUUUUCUCUUGAUGAAUGACCCAAAGCUGUGUCUUUUGUUAGAUCCCCCAGGCCUAUGCCCAGUUCUCAGUACUGUAGUGGCACAGGCGCCAUCAAGUGGUGGUCCCACUGAGAUCAGGAAAGUGAGGAGCCCCUGACAGGAUCAUUCUAAGAAGCUGGCUGGUGAAGCAAAAGGAAUGUAUUGGGUGAGUGGUGCAGCAUCAAACCAAAAGUAAACUUAGUUCGCAGUAAGUAAAAGGAUCACACCAUGGGAACCUCAAGUUCCACAUUAUAUCCAACAGAUUAGAUGGUAGCUCUGCUCAGACAGCAGGAACAGAGAUAAAGGUAAAAACAGCUAAAGAAUUUAUUAAAACUUUAGAAAAGACUAGUCCCUGGCUUGUUCAUUCAGGAUGACUUAAUAUUCCUGAUUGGUAACACGUUAAGACAGAUUUGCAAAAAACACUGCAGAGAGAUGGCUCUGAGAGCAUUCUUGUUGCCAUUUUCUCUUUGUGGAGAUUGGUCAAGGAUGCUGUCUUGAGUACUAAUGCUAAAAUAAAGAAUAAAUGUCAGAGAUAGAAAGAAUAUUUGGAGCGGCACAGGAUGAUGCCUCCCGUAAGUCUUCACAAACCUCUGAUUCAGAUCAAGAUUCAAGCUCAGAGGAGGAUGAAGUAGAGACACUAGAAAAAGAAAUAGAGGAGCUUAAAAAGAAGAUUAGUAAGUGCAGGGUUGCUAAAAAAUCAGAAUCUUGUCCUCCUAGUAAAAAUCCCUUCUUUAAAGAAGAGGGAGCUACUGCUCCUUCUGCCUAUGAAUCCUAUUCUUCCUUGGAGUGGUGUUAAGGCUCCAAGGAAAGGGAUAAUUUUUUCUGAGCCUCACCCUUGACAGUGAGCAGUAUAUCCUGUUGUUGAGGUGUCAGACUCCAACAAUGCAGGCCAAUUUAUUAGACAACAUGUUCCUCUGAGUUUUAAGGAGUUGCUCUGCUUAUGGUCCCUUUGCUACCUUUACUUAGAAUUAUGUAGGACAGUGCUGUCUGGGGGAGAUUGUCUCAUAUGGAGAGGAGAAUGUCAGGAGCAGUGCACCCAGACAGCUCAGAGAGAUGCUGCUGCGGAAUGGGGGAGGGACAUCUUAUAUCAUAUGGGAGUGGUGGUUACCACCCAACCAGUACAGAGGAUACUGCAUAAAUAGGAAUUUCCCCCCAGUAAGGGUUUGGGGCGGUACCUACAGGGGAACCCUCAACCUGUGUCUGAUGGGGACCUAGUUAUUUGAGCCCAUGAAGGUGGGAUGGGAUUAGGAAGUUUAUCAUGGAGGUCACUGCUAAAUUGCUUCCUGUUAUGAUCCUGUAUGGGUGGAGCAGUGGCCCCUUUUCUCUGAAAAAAUUGGAGGUAACACAUAAACUUGUAUAAGAACAGUUACAGGCAGGACACAUUGUUCCCUCCACUUCCCCCUGGAAUGUGUCUUUGUGGUCCUCUUACAUGCCUGGAUGGCACUCCUCUGAUGUUAAGACAGGGGGUAGCUUUUAAUUCCACUGCCUAUUGGAUACAUCUAUCACCUUUGAAGUUUCCCUUAAAUUUGAAAAUAGUAGGUUUAGUAAAAAUUUUAAUAUCUCUUCCUUCACCUGUGUUAUUCCUCCAUUUUUCUUGGUGGUUUGGAAUGGUACUAAUGCUGGAGGUAGUCUUGACUAUUCUUCACAGGAAUACAUGAAGCUGUUGGGGACCAGAGGACUCUGCCCUGGUUGUGCAGAUCCAAGGCAUAGUUCCAUUGCCUGUCAAUCAUUCAAGAGAAAAUCAACUGAUCCUGACUGUCAUAAGAGAGACUUUGGCAUCACGGCUGCUAUUGGCACCUUCUCCUUGGGCAUUAUUGCUCUUGGAGCUGCCCUUGUGUUUGUGUUUUUUCUUUGUCGCCUGGGCAGAAAACAAGCCCAGAGCCAAGCUGUCAAUCGACAGAUAAUGUUAUCUUUGGCAGAAGGCAACCCAUCAACUCAGAUAUGACUGAUAUAUAAAAAUUAGGCAGCCAAGGAUGGGUAAGACCAUAAGGGUGGCUGUCAACCUAAGACAGGGGGUCCAUGAGGCCUGAGUGGGCUGCCCAAUGGUGGGUAAGGCAGACACUGACAUUCAUGAGUCACCCAAGACAGACACUAAUUUAUAAAUAAAAAAGGGGGAAUUGUUGAACCCAGCCCCAACCCCUAUGGGAUGAAUUGCUCCACUAGCUUGUUGCCCAAGGCUGUAGCCCACAAUGUAGCAGCUGUGGUUAAAAUGGCCGAAUGACAAAGUCCUGAGUCAUUUCUGUGUUCCUGUUUUUAUCCUGAGAACGUAAACUUAUUUUUCCAUUGUGCUUCCGGGAUUUUUCUACCUGGUGGAUUUGGUGUAUAUAUUGUGUGAACCUCAGUAAAGCUUUGGCAUUCUCUCUUGA
rnacentral:sRNA from 1 species